GAAGUACUCCCUCCGUCCGGAAUUACUUGUCAUCAAAAUGGAUGUGUCUAGAACUAAAAUACAUCUAGAUACAUCCAUUUCAAUGACAAGUAUUUCCGGACGGAGGGAGUUCAAG
rnacentral:pre_miRNA from 1 species